GGGAUGAAGGCUGCCGAGGUACGUUUUUGAUUGAGCCGGAGCGGACAGCAGAGCUGAUAGCGUCACAGUCACGGGACCGUUUGACAACGACUUGCUCCAGACUCCGUUUGCCAGAUUCAAAACAAGCCACCAACGCAUGCAUGUUUCAUUACGUAGCGAAGAGGAAUCAAACGGUCCAUUUAGAUUCUGCGGCACUCAAUUUAUGACCAACACCAAUGCUCCCUGCCAACACAGGAAGAAAGUGUGCCCUUCAUGCAGCCGAGUGAAACGCGAGGGUGUGAAGGUCGGCGAGUGAGCCUUCAGCGUGUCGGAGCGUCACGCUAAUGACGGAAGAUCGCAUCCAACCGCCGACACUUAAGGACGCACUUUCCCCCAACCUCUGCCCAGUGUUUUUAUUACUUGACC
ensembl:lncRNA